AAUACAUGUAAUGUAAAAUAUGUGUUGAUUGACUAUUUAUGCUAUUGAUGAGGCUUCUGUUCAAUAGUACAGCUACUAGUAGUUAUGUUUUUGGGGAACCAAAAGUCAUCUAUAGACUUUUGACUGUGCAGGGGGUCAGUGCCCCUAACCCCCACAUUGUUCAGGGGUCAAAUAUAUUGUGCAUUGGAGCUGGAGGGGAGCAGGUGUCUGCGGACCGAGGAGGUUCUCCUCAGCCUUUCAUGGAGCUACAGGAGCUGAAAGUGUUAGCGCUCAGGCAAGCAUGCACUUUUUUCUUCCCUACCCUGAACUCAGUACCCAGUUCUUGUCAGUGGCGUUCAGUUUUCCUGAGUAGCUAUUGUGUCUUUUGAGCUGGGGGUACAUGACCACAUUUUUGUCACUGUUUACUAAUCACCUAGCAACAUCUGCAGUCAUCUGUACACUCAUAUUUUCCCUCCUCAUGUUGCUGCUACUUGCUAUCUAGAUGCUGCAGAAACUAUUUAUGGACAAGGAAUGCUGGGAAUUUUGCCUCAGGAUUAGAGAAAUUUCACUUGGCGAGAACGUCCAAAAAUCAGGUCAAAAGCUUUUGAAGGUCAUUACCAGCUGCCAUAUAGAACAUACCUUUCAGUGUUCUGCUGUUGGGCUGUCCUGCAUCUGGUUCUUUGAAUUAUUCCAACCAAGCCUGCUUCCUGCUAACUUCCUGCUAACCACCAACACUCUGGAGUUACCUGGGCGGCCAUCACGAUCUCACCUAUUCCUACCCUGCUCUCAAUCUGAUCUAGUAUAAUUCUAACCCUAGACUCUGUGGACCUGUUAUCCUUGAUAAGGAACAUUUGUGGAUGGUGUUUCCAGCUUUUGAUCCUUGACUUUUCCUCAUGACCUCUGACCUGGUUUGUCCUUACACAUCUCUGCCAUUAUGGAAACUGCAGGCAGCCCCAGCUGCUUACCUGACCCCCAGUGCUCCAUGAGAAAGGCCUGGUGGCUGCCUGGAUGUAUCCUCUGCCCCACUGAACACGCCACCCCCAGGAAUCAGACCAUUAGAUUAGAAGUUGCUUUUGCCUUUUUUUCACAGGAGCCUGGAGUAUGUCCUCUUACAAAUUGCACUCACAGCAGACCCUGAUAUUCUAGAAUUCCCAAGGCAGAUAUGCAAAUCAGAUCUAAGCUGUGACCUUCAUCUCUCACAUGUAAAAAGAAUGUGUCAGGACCCAUGGCUUGCGAAAGCAACCUUAUUUCUUUACAAUCAUUUUUAAAAUGCCACUAAUUGUUUUAUUACUUUCAACUUCAACACAAAGCAUUACUCAGACAGCUACUGAAACAGAUGAGUACAUAGUACCACCUCUGAAUCACCUGCACAACUGCCAUGUCAAGGACGAGGUUGCUGUUCUCCCUCUGGCUUUCUGGACUUCUAAAUCUCAGCAGUGCUAGGAUUGAAGAACACGCUGGGCUUCCUGCAUACCUGCACCCCCUGUGGAUACCAUCAUCUAAAUUACACCAGCCAGCUCCUUCCUCAUGACCUGAAAGAGUAAUUAAGACUGUAAUGAAGAAGAAACAUUCAGCAAAAGUGUUGCCAGAUGGACUGGAUGCUGACCAACGGGAUACAAAUGGAAGUGAUGUGUGCAACUGCUGAUUCACAAUAAGGGAAGAGAAAAAGCUUGCCAACCCGUGAUCCAGAGGAACUGGAGCACCAAGAAUUAUACAUGGGAGCAGUAGAAACAUUUAAAAUCUCAAUUGCCAGAGAGAGAAAAGGAGUGCACACAAGCAGGGAGAGCGGUAGAAGAGGGAGAAGAAGCAGGCUCUCCACCAAGCAGGGAGCCUGAUGCAGAGCUCAAUCUCAGGACUGUGGGCAGACGAUUAAACAAUUUAGCCACCCAGGAAUGAAGACUGUAAACAAAAACCUGCCAAGCAGAGAUUCAACUGUAUUCUCUCCUUCACUACACACCAGGAAGACUGUAUUGUCUUGAAUAAGUAGAUUCUCUAGAUUUGCUCAAAAGAAGAUAACGUCUCUCUCUGCCUGCUAUCCAAGGGAUCAUCUCAAAGAUGAGAGAAGACAGUGUUCCAAUCCUGUUCCAGAAAGGUGUUAUGUUUUCUAUUCUCAAGCCACCAAAAAACUAGCUUUUCUGAGAAUUGGUUUUAGGAACACUCAGUAAAUGCUAAAUAGUGUAGUUUUAUGUCUAUCACUAUUAAAACAGUGUAUGGUACAGCAUAGGGAAUAUAGUCAAUGGUACUAUAAUAGCACUAUAUGGUGACAGAUGGUGGUUCCACUUGUGGUGAACA